AUUACUCCUACGGGAGGCAGCAGUGGGGAAUUUUGGACAAUGGGGGCAACCCUGAUCCAGCCAUUCCGCGUGAGUGAAGAAGGCCUUCGGGUUGUAAAGCUCUUUUGUUCGGGACGAAACGGUUAAGGCUAAUAACCUUGACUAAUGACGGUACCGGAAGAAUAAGCACCGGCUAACUACGUGCCAGCAGCCGCGGUAAUAAU
rnacentral:rRNA from 1 species